rnacentral:misc_RNA from 1 species
CCAGUGGGAGAUAUCUAUCCCAACUCCCCUCAAACUCAAUGACACAACUCUUUAGCAUAUCCUCCAGGAUUUAUCACAUAAUUCACAGUGUUACUAUCAUUUCAAUUUAUUACUUGCAAAAAUUCAAUUAGUUCUUAGGUUUACCUGGAUUACUCGUUCUGACUGUCUAUCCGUUUGGGGAUGAAAAGCAGUGCUAAAACGGAGUUGUGUGCCCAAGGCUUCUUGCAACUUUUUCCAGAAUCUCAAUGUAAACCUUGGGUCU